AGAGUUUGAUCCUGGCUCAAGACGAACGCUGGCGGCGUGCCUAAUACAUGCAAGUCGAGCGGACAGAUGGGAGCUUGCUCCCUGAUGUUAGCGGCGGACGGGUGAGUAACACGUGGGUAACCUGCCUGUAAGACUGGGAUAACUCCGGGAAACCGGGGCUAAUACCGGAUGGUUGUUUGAACCGCAUGGUUCAAACAUAAAAGGUGGCUUCGGCUACCACUUACAGAUGGACCCGCGGCGCAUUAGCUAGUUGGUGAGGUAAUGGCUCACCAAGGCAACGAUGCGUAGCCGACCUGAGAGGGUGAUCGGCCACUCUGGGACUGAGACACGGCCCAGACUCCUACGGGAGGCAGCAGUAGGGAAUCUUCCGCAAUGGACGAAAGUCUGACGGAGCAACGCCGCGUGAGUGAUGAAGGUUUUCGGAUCGUAAAGCUCUGUUGUUAGGGAAGAACAAGUACCGUUCGAAUAGGGCGGCACCUUGACGGUACCUAACCAGAAAAGCCACGGCUAACUACUUGCCAGCAGCCGCGGUAAUACGUAGGUGGCAAGCGUUGUCCGGGAAUUAUUGGGCGUAAAGGGCUCGCAGGC
rnacentral:rRNA from 1 species